GAUGAACGCUAGCGGCAGGCCUAACACAUGCAAGUCGAGGGGCAGCACGUCUUCGGAUGGUGGCGACCGGCGCACGGGUGCGUAACGCGUAUGCAACCUACCUCUUACAGUGGGAUAGCCCAGAGAAAUUUGGAUUAAUACCGCAUAGUAUACAGAUUCAGCAUUGGGACUGUAUUAAACNUUUAUGGGUAAGAGAUGGGCAUGCGUUCUAUUAGUUAGUUGGAGUGGUAACGGCACCCCAAGACAGCGAUAGAUAGGGGCCCUGAGAGGGGGAUCCCCCANACUGGUACUGAGACACGGACCAGACUCCUACGGGAGGCAGCAGUGAGGAAUAUUGGACAAUGGGCAGAGCCUGAUCCAGCCAUUGCCGCGUAGCAGG
rnacentral:rRNA from 1 species